rnacentral:rRNA from 1 species
UACGUAGGGUGCAAGCGUUGUCCGGAAUUAUUGGGCGUAAAGAGCUCGUAGGCGGUCUGUCGCGUCGAAUGUGAAAACCCGGGGCUCAACCCCGGGCCUGCAUUCGAUACGGGCAGACUAGAGUUCGGUAGGGGAGUCUGGAAUUCCUGGUGUAGCGGUGAAAUGCGUAGAUAUCAGGAGGAACACCUGUGGCGAAAGCGGUUCUCUGGGCAUGUCCUGACGCUGAGGAGCGAAAGUGUGGGGAGCGAACAGG